CCCUUAGAGUUUGAUCCUGGCUCAGGAUGAACGCUGGCGGCGUGCCUAACACAUGCAAGUCGAACGAAGCAAUUGAAGGAAGUUUUCGGAUGGAAUUCGAUUGACUGAGUGGCGGACGGGUGAGUAACGCGUGGAUAACCUGCCUCACACUGGGGGAUAACAGUUAGAAAUGACUGCUAAUACCGCAUAAGCGCACAGUACCGCAUGGUACAGUGUGAAAAACUCCGGUGGUGUGAGAUGGAUCCGCGUCUGAUUAGCCAGUUGGCGGGGUAACGGCCCACCAAAGCGACGAUCAGUAGCCGACCUGAGAGGGUGACCGGCCACAUUGGGACUGAGACACGGCCCAAACUCCUACGGGAGGCAGCAGUGGGGAAUAUUGCACAAUGGGCGAAAGCCUGAUGCAGCGACGCCGCGUGAGUGAAGAAGUAUUUCGGUAUGUAAAGCUCAUCAGCAGGAAGAAAAUG
rnacentral:rRNA from 1 species